rnacentral:rRNA from 1 species
GACGAACGCUGGCGGCGUGCUUAACACAUGCAAGUCGAACGGAAAGGCCCUGCUUUUGUGGGGUGCUCGAGUGGCGAACGGGUGAGUAACACGUGAGUAACCUGCCCUUGACUUUGGGAUAACUUCAGGAAACUGGGGCUAAUACCGGAUAGGAGCUCCUGCUGCAUGGUGGGGGUUGGAAAGUUUCGGCGGUUGGGGAUGGACUCGCGGCUUAUCAGCUUGUUGGUGGGGUAGUGGCUUACCAAGGCUUUGACGGGUAGCCGGCCUGAGAGGGUGACCGGCCACAUUGGGACUGAGAUACGGCCCAGACUGCUACGGGAGGCAGCAGUGGGGAAUAUUGCGCAAUGGGCGGAAGCCUGAUGCAGCAACGCCGCGUGCGGGAUGACGGCCUUCGGGUUGUAAACCGCUUUCGCCUGUGACGAAGCGUGAGUGACGGUAAUGGGUAAAGAAGCACCGGCUAACUACGUG